rnacentral:rRNA from 1 species
UACGUAGGGGGCAAGCGUUGUCCGGAUUUAUUGGGCGUAAAGCGCUCGCAGGUGGUUCGUCGCGUCGUGCGUGAAAGACCCCGGCUCAACUGGGGAGGGUCGUGCGAAACGGGCGGACUAGAGGCCAGUAGGGGGAUGCGGAAUUCCGGGUGUAGUGGUGGAAUGCGUAGAUAUCCGGAGGAACACCAGCGGCGAAGGCGGCAUCCUGGACUGGUCCUGACACUCAGGAGCGAAAGCGUGGGGAGCGAUCCGG